rnacentral:tRNA from 1 species
UGUCCAGGGUAGCCUAGUGGACAUGGCAUCUGCCCGGUAAGCGGAACACUGUGGGUUCGAUUCCCAUCCCUAUAC